GAGUGUCUUUACCUCCUGAGAAAGUAUAAAUGUAAUUAGCUUCUGUUUUAUAGUUUUAGUAACUUAAUUCUUGCUAUAAGUAUUUUGUAUUUUAAACAUUUCCUACCUAGUAAAGGAAACAAAAACUGAAGGAACUGAAUAGCUGAUAAUCAAUGUUGUACAUUGAGUGUCACUUCUAGAAAGGAAUUUUCUCAUCUCUUUUUGUGAAGUUUCUAGACAUGAGCCAUACCUAAAAUCAGUUUUUGAAGAUUUCCUUAAAAUUCUCUUUCAGCAUGGGGACAAUGAAAAGAGCUUCUUUCUUUGGAGUCUGAAGAGCCCAAGAACUAAACAAGUCCAGAUCCCACUAUUAGGAAUAUACCUCAAGGAGGUCAAAAAGAACAACAAAAAAGGAUCCUCUGCAUACUGAAAUAUUUAGAGCAGGACAUUUUUGCCAAAAGCUGGAAACAAUACAGGCAUCCGUUAACAGAAGAGUAUCUGAACAAAUCCUGUCAGAUAAAUGUAACAAAAAAUUUUUUGAACUAAAGGAAAUGAGGAAAUGAGGAAUUUUUAAAGUAUGGAAAGACUCCUACAAUCUAAAAAUGAGCAAAGAAAGCAGAAAACUACAAUAUAUAUAAUGCCUACAAUAAUAUAAAGGAUAACAACACUAAAAUCCAGAGGAACUCUGAUUAACUGUAAUCACUAUUACAACCAAUAAUCAUCUCCAACUAGAUAAUAAAAACAUUCCUCCCUCCUCA
rnacentral:lncRNA from 1 species